GUCCUUUUGAAUUUUAUUUAAGGUCUAGUCUGCCCACUGAAUUUAUAUUUUAAAUGGCCGCAGUAUUUUGACUGUGCAAAGGUAGCAUAAUCAUUAGUUUUUUAAUUAAAAGCUUGUAUGAAAGGCUGGACGAGGUAAAAUCUGUCUCUAUUUAAAUUAUAGUAGAAUUUAACUUUUAAGUUAAAAGGCUUAAAUAUUAUUAAAAGACGAGAAGACCCUAUAGAGCUUUAUAAUUUAUUGAUUAAAAUUAAUUUAGAAAUAUUUAUGUUUUAGUUAAUUAAAUUAUUUUAUUGGGGUAAUAGAAAGAUUGAAUUAAUUCUUUUUUAUAAAAAACAUUAAUUUAUGAAUAUUAAUGAUCCAAUUUUAUUGAUUAUAAGAUUAAGUUACCUUAGGGAUAACAGCGUAAUUUUUUUAAAGAGUUCAUAUCGAUAAAAAAGUUUGCGACCUCGAUGUUGGAUUAAAGAUUAUUUUAGGUGCAGAAGCUUAAUAAAUUUGGUCUGUUCGACCAUUGAAUCUUUAC
rnacentral:rRNA from 1 species